UACGGAGGGGCUAGCGUUGUUCGGAAUUACUGGGCGUAAAGCGCACGUAGGCGGCGACUCAAGUCAGAGGUGAAAGCCCGGGGCUCAACCCCGGAACUGCCUUUGAAACUAGGUUGCUAGAAUCUUGGAGAGGUCAGUGGAAUUCCGAGUGUAGAGGUAGAAAUUCGUAGAUAUUCGGAAGAACACCAGUGGCGAAGGCGACUGACUGGACAAGUAUUGACGCUGAGGUGCGAAAGCGUGGGGAGCAAACAGG
rnacentral:rRNA from 1 species